UACGUAGGGUGCAAGCGUUGUCCGGAAUUAUUGGGCGUAAAGAGCUCGUAGGCGGUUUGUCGCGUCUGCUGUGAAAUCCCAGGGCUUAACCCUGGGCCUGCAGUGGGUACGGGCAAACUAGAGUGCGGUAGGGGAGAUCGGAAUUCCUGGUGUAGCGGUGAAAUGCGCAGAUAUCAGGAGGAACACCUGUGGCGAAGGCGGAUCUCUGGGCAUUAACUGACGCUGAGGAGCGAAAGCAUGGGGAGCGAACAGG
rnacentral:rRNA from 1 species